UACGGAGGGUGCAAGCGUUAUCCGGAUUCACUGGGUUUAAAGGGUGCGUAGGUGGGCAGGUAAGUCAGUGGUGAAAUCUCCGGGCUUAACCCGGAAACUGCCGUUGAUACUAUUUGUCUUGAAUAUUGUGGAGGUAAGCGGAAUAUGUCAUGUAGCGGUGAAAUGCUUAGAUAUGACAUAGAACACCAAUUGCGAAGGCAGCUCGCUACACGAAUAUUGACUCUGAGGCACGAAAGCGUGGGGAUCAAACAGG
rnacentral:rRNA from 1 species